AUUGAACGCUGGCGGCAGGCUUAACACAUGCAAGUCGAGCGGGGUGAUGGUGCUUGCACUAUCACUUAGCGGCGGACGGGUGAGUAAUGCUUAGGAAUCUGCCUAUUAGUGGGGGACAACAUCUCGAAAGGGAUGCUAAUACCGCAUACGUCCUACGGGAGAAAGCAGGGGAUCACUUGUGACCUUGCGCUAAUAGAUGAGCCUAAGUCGGAUUAGCUAGUUGGUGGGGUAAAGGCCUACCAAGGCGACGAUCUGUAGCGGGUCUGAGAGGAUGGUCCGCCACACUGGGACUGAGACAACGCCCAGACUCCUGCGGGAGGCAGCAGUGGGGAAUAUUGGACAAUGGGGGGAACCCUGAUCCAGGCAUGCCGCGUGUGUGAAGAAGGCCUUAUGGUUGUAAAGCACUUUAAGCGAGGAAGAGGCUCUUUUGGUUAAUACCCAAGAUGAGUGGACGUUACUCGCAGAAUAAGCACCGGCUAACUCUGUGCCAGCCGCCGCGGUAA
rnacentral:rRNA from 1 species